rnacentral:rRNA from 1 species
GUGCCAGCAGCCGCGGUAAAACGUAGGAGGCAAGCGUUAUCCGAAUUUACUGGGCGUAAAGCGCGUGCAGGCGGUGCGGUAAGUUGGAUGUGAAAUCUUCUGGCUCAACUGGGAGAGGUCGUUCAAAACUGCCGGACUAGAGGAUGGUAGAGGAAGGUGGAAUUCCCGGUGUAGUAGUGAAAUGCGUAGAUAUCGGGAGGAACACCUGUGGCGAAAGCGGCCUUCUAGGCCAUACCUGACGCUCAGACGCGAAAGCUAGGGGAGCGAACGGGAUUAGAAACCCCAGUAGUCC